UAUACACAUGACUAAUUGAUGUCAAUCUUCUGUAUUCUUCCAAAAAUACUACCGUCAUUUAUUUUCCAUAUUCUCUCUCUAACUUUGUAACCCUUCUCUUCUCCUCUCUGCUCUCUCUCGCUCAGUCGGUUUCUCCCCUAAAUCCCCAAAGCAACCAUCCCCUAAAUUCAUAAGUCCUGACGAACUCAGGAGCCCAGCAAUCCAGAUCAACACCAAACCCCCGUUGCUAGACUUCGAAGCCCAAACCCCCACCAAAUCGAACCCAUGUUUGUCGAAAUCAAAGCUGACAAGCACUUUCCAGCCUGUGUGACGUUCAGGGGAAGUGCUCACAUGAUGAUGAUUAUAGAGACAUUUCAAACGCAUGGUUUGAUUUAAAGGGCAAAUUCAUCCUUAUUCAUAUAUUUCUUCAAGGUGAAGGAGUUAAAGCUUUCUAGAGUCAUGAUGCACCAGUUAAUGUUGCGUAAGGUUGUGAGCAAGAAUCUUGAAUAUGGACAAUUCUAUGUGGGAAACAAACUCUGUAGAUUCGGUAUUGUGGAGUUUGAUUUAUUGACCGGUAUGAAUUUUAGUAAGACUUUGUCAACAGAUGAGUUCAAAGAGCAUGUGACCAGUGAUCGAUUGGUGAAGGAGUAUUUCAAUGAUGAUUUGAAAAUUAGUUUAGGUCAGUUGGAAGAUGCAUUUAAGGAUUGCAAAAACGUGGAAGAUGCUCUUAAGCUAGGUUUAUGUUAUUUUAUUGAAGGGGUACUAUAUGCCCCUGAGAACGCAACUAGCAUAUGGGGAGAUGUGGUAAAGUUGGUUGAGGACAGUCUUUAAGUAUCUAUGAGGGAAGCAGUAUUUCCAAAGGUUGAUUAAGGGAAAUCAAAGAGACAUGAAGCACCAACUGAAAUUGUAUGAGGAGAAAAAAAACACUAAGUCAGGGAAACAAAAAGAAGCAAAGUACAAUGGUUACGCCCCCGCAUUUUAGUAUUGGGCAUAUGAGGCCAUAUUGGAGAUUCUGAAGAAAUAUGCUGACAAGAGUGGUAACUAGAUCCUCAAGAUGCUUAGUUGGUCGACCAAGGGCGACAUCGUCCUUUCUACAGCUGGGGUUGCGCCAUGACUCGUGUAAAUUUCUCUAUGUUGAAGCCCCGGCCCUGUGAGGUAGAUUACUACAAUAGCCUCACAGGUGUUGAUAUGCAUAUAUACCAUGCCCUAAGAAUUAAUGAGGCCGACGUAGAGCUUGGGGAUGGAGUAAAAGCAAAUCCACAGAAAAUGGACAUUGAAGUUUGAGGAGAUUUUCACCUAGAAGUCAAGCUAAGGGUAGUUGUGGUGGAGUUUGGAGAUUAUUUUGGGGAAAUUGGAGUGGCUAAGCUUAACAUCUCAGCAAGCCUUCGAAUUUGGGUAGAGAAUUUCAGGGUUUUCCGCCAGGCACGGAUCAGGAUUAGCGCUUGGGUUCGUUCCACUAUUCGCACAAGGAUCGAGGUAAGGGUAAGGAGAAGCUUGGCUAGCCAUGAGUUGGAGAGUGUUAGGGGCGAUGUAACGCCCUGGAUAGCCAAGACCGCUACACUGUGUACUUAUAAAGGUGCAAGACUUGCUAAUCAAGCCGUUAUUUUAAAAACGUGUCAUCAAACAUGUAAAAGCUAGGGUUAAAAAGGUUUUGGUCUCAAAAGACUCAUUUUAUAUAAUUAAAUUGUUACGUACACGGGUUCCCAUAAGAAAACAGAGUUAAAAGUAAGUUUACAGACUCCCAAAGGUACAUAAGUAAUCACUGGCCAUUCUAGGGCAAAACAAACAGUCUUUGGGUCACGCGUCCCUGCCUAAACCUCAACCGUGGCGGCUGAGCAACUGGCUAUGUACAUUCCACUCGCUGAGCUCUCCAAUCAGGGCUGGUCCAACUUGCCCUUGCUUUUACCUGCACCAUGUAGCACCCGUGAGCCAAGGCCCAGCAAGAAAACAUCAUAUAUAACACAAUCAAUGAUAUCAAACAGUUAAACCAUCAAGCAUGAUUUCUCAUCAAUUAAUUCAGCACAUAUACUCAAAUUCAAGACACAAACAAUCACUCAUGUCACAUAAUAUUCAAGGCCGAUGACUUAGUCCGCACCCUCUGUUUAACCCACUGACUCCGGCCCGCUUAAACCGAGCUCAGUGCAUAAUAAGCUGUCCUCGGCUACCAAUGGCCGAGCCGCGCCCUGUGCGCUAUUGAAACUCUUGGCACCCUUAGGUCGUUGGUUCACUAAAUAGCUUGCAUGGCAUAAUACCAUCAUUUCAAGCCUUUACAAUAGGGAACCCUUAGUCUCGUCACAUAUAUUCAACCAGGUGUUGUUUUCUUACCUUUAGUCUGUACGGUUAUUGAUUAUGAGCAACGCUCCUCAAGCAUGAUCCGUUUCCGAGUCUAAGCUUUUAUCACCUAGUCAUAACCAAAGUAUAAGGUUCCAUUAAUAUUCAAAUAUAGGUUUUCGGUUACAAAACUAACUCCCGAGGAUCCGAAUUCCACCAAGCCCGGUGGUGAAACCAAUCCCGAGCAAACUAGACCACAUUCCCAUGCCUAAAAUCCUCAAAAGUUCAUGUGCACAACCAAGGGCUGCAGCCCUUGAAGCUUAGCCGCGGCCCUAGCCUCAAAACAGAACCAAGGCCAACCUGAACAAAGACACGUGCCGCGGCCCUUGCUUUGGGCGCUGUGGCGCCCACCCUUGGCCGAGCCUCCUUGGCUUUUCUUCAUCCUAGGGCUGCAGCGCUCUAGAACAGAGUCGCGGCCCUUCCCUUCGAACCCAGAUUUCCCACCAUUUCUAAGCUUGAAACCUCCCUUAAACCAUCCCAAAGCUCCCCAACUCAUAACCAAUUAAUCCAAACUCCUUUGGCAUGACUUAAACCACAUAGUUCCACAGAAAACUCAGCCUAACAUACAUUAAUCUCCUCUUUUCAAUUUCUGAAACUCAAAAUCUAUAAACACCCAAACCAGCCAUUCAAAUCCAAAUUUAAACCUUUAAAUCAUGGAUUGAAACUUACCUCUUCUGCUGAACCACUUCACCAAGCCAAAACCUAGCAAAUUCCCAAGCUUUCCUCCUUAAUUCUGUCUUAAGACAUCAAAACCAUAUUUUCCUCAAAACCCAACCAAAACUCAGAAUUUCCAACUACAGAAAAGAAGAUUAAAUGCUUACCUUAACCCUGUUUUAGUUCUUGAUUAAUUCCUGAGGUAAGCCUCCAAUUCCCCCACCUCAAUUCUCAGAAAUUCUAGCUUGAGUCCCUUAAAAUUUCUGUGUUCCUUUCUUUCCUUGUGUUUCCUUGAAAGAGAGUGAGAGUAAAGCUGAUAGGAAGAGUCGGUCUAUUUUCCUUCUAGGGGUUUCCUCAAAUUUUUCUUAUCCACUAAGUUAAUUCCCAAAGCUCGGGGUGCCGGAACCGUCCCCGAGGGCAAUAUGGUAAAAUCCCCCAAUAUUCCCACCUAGACAUCCUAACCUCAAAUAUAUCUCCAUAUAUUUAUUUUCAUAACCCGAUACCUAAAGUACCCCUAACUUGUCUAAAGUCAUAUUUUAAGUCCCGUUGUGACUUUUCCCGCCAUCUGACCUUAGGAUCGUCUCAAGUCGUGCUCUGCAGACCUGGCCACAUAAUAAUGUGGUUCUCACAUAUAUCACAUAUUUAAUUCAUAUUAUCAUAAAAACAUUACCAAACAUAUAAUUACACAUUUAAAUCACAUAAUAAUCCAAUGAUGCCCUCCAGGCACACUAAUCAAGGCCCUUAAGCCUCAUUAGCGAAUUUGGGGUCGUUACAGGCGAUGUGUACAUAUGCAGUCUGCUCGACUGCCACGGCUGAGGUAUCGCAAGGGAACUAGGGGUUGGACCCUAUUUUGCCACUUAGGUAGGCUUAUUUUGUAAUCCCUGAGUUGUAAGCAAUUUUUAAACUUGUAUUUUGGGAUCCCAUGUAAAGACUAAAGUUUUCUUUUAAUGGAAAUGUUUAUUCCUUGUCCAAGAUUUUUAAUACCUAAAACAUUAGUGGCUUAAUCACAUGUUUUAGUCCAAAUGACUCAUUUAGCGAGUCCUGCACUAAUUUAAACACACGUGGUAACAAGCCCUAAUUAGCAGGGCGUUACACUAUUAUUUACGAGGAUGUCUCGAAGGAGAAGUAAUCCACUCAACCAACAAUUGCAUCAUCAUCAAGGCCUAUUGUACAUCUUCAAUACAACCAACUGGUACAGAGGCUCGAGAGGGUUGAGCAGGGCCAGGCAAAUUUACUAGAGAAUCAAUCAAUGAUCAUGGCUCAAUUGGCCAAGUUAUUGUCAUUGGCGGAGGAUCGGUCAAUAAGAAAACAUCCACUGACCUCAGCAGAGCUAGAUACAAAGUUUGACAUUUUCCAUGUAGAUUACCAGGUUGAUGAUCAUCCAGCUACUCCAGGCCUCAAUAUAUUGAAGGCCAGUGAUGAUGGUACGAUUGGUGUAGUCAUUUUUGAGCCUGGGAAGGUUGCAGGCUUUGAUUUUAAGAGGAAGAAACGCAGGCCAAAACUAUUCCAAGACUACACCGACCCAACAAAUGGUUGCACCCAAAUAAAGAUGAGAUAGUUUUAGACCCUUUGAAGAAGUGUGUCAUCAAGCAAGAGAAGACUUUUGAGAAGUGACUACUCGGGAAGAUUAUCAACAAGCAGGAAUUGGGAUGUGAGGAUUGGGAACCAUAAUAUGGUGUGGUUCUUACAGUUGAAUACAAUCAGGAGUUGGCUUUGAGAUUCUAUAAGUACUUUAACUAAUAUGUUUUUUUUCCAAUAUGAAGUAAGUUUCUUCAUCUUUACGAAUUUUGUUUUAUUGUAGCAUAUUGAUGCGGCCCUACACUUAUUUUGUAGGUGACGCCAUUUAUUUCCAGUACAGUUUUGUAGGAAAUACAUAUAGCAUGAUCUUGUUUAUUUUUUGUAAUUCACAUAUUAUCAACACAACCAUGCAAAUACCUAGAACAUGUUGUUGGAGUUUUAUGCUCUAAUUAAAACUCAAAUUCUUUGUAAUCUCAUUUUAUUAUCAAUAAAAGAAUAGAAAUUAUUUUUUGACUUGGUCAAUCACUUUGCUCACAUGUUUUAUUUUCAUGAUUAUUUGUUUAAUAUAAAAUUCUAUUAAAUCCCGAGCAUAUAGCUAAUCUUAUUUAUAGUGACGUAAUCACAGUGGAAUAUAAAUAUGAUUAUAUGUUCAAAAUAAGUUAGUCCUAAGAUUAGUCAGUGCACAGGAUUUACACUGACUUGCCAAUCUACGAUAUGAUCUACUUACACAUUACAGUGUUAUGUUCUUUCCAGAACAUUAACAAAGUAGAUAAGAUCGGAUGUAUUCGAUACAUCGGACUGGACCGAUAUUGACAGUUGAUAAGAUAAGUAAACAUACCAUUAUUAUCUAUUCUAGUCAUAUCAUAUAGUUGACCAUAGGUCAAUUCAAUCUCAAUUCUGAGUUGUUAGUAUUCUAACUGAUUGUAUUAUUUGAGUUCUUUGACUUGUUCGUUACCAGCUUACCCUACGGACUAGCCCAUACUUACAUCUUGGGAACUUGGUAGUAUAAUUAAGUGGGAAUGUUAAUCGUAGAUAUGAACAUCUAUAGCUUCCGAUGAAGAAGUGAAACAAUGGUUUCCUUUUAGUUUAGUUCAAGGUGUUAAAUGAUAGAGAUCUCAUUUCAGUAAUUAAAUUAGUUUACUGAAAUAUCAUUUACAAGGAACUAAGUGUUUUAAGGAUAAAAUACAAUGAGGGGUAAAGUGGUAUUUUAGUCCUAUCUCAUUGUAGACCAUCUAUAGAGGAUUGAGUGACAAUUGCGGUUGUAACAAUGGAUAAUUAAUAGUGUAUCUAUAUUUGUUAUAGAAUGUUCUAUGAAUUCAAGAAUGCAAUUCCGAGUCUAUUGUGGAGUCACGAGGAAUUAAUAAGUUAGUAAAUUUAUUUGUUAGAUUUAUGAUAACUUAUUGGAGCUUGAUUUCAUAGGUCAAUGGUCUCCAUUGUACCUUGGUUAAAAUCAUCUAGAUAGUCUCAAUUAAUGGAUUUAAUUAUCAAUUAGAAUUAUCAAAGUUGACCAGGUCAAUUUUGGAUAGUUUCACAGAGUUAUGUAAUUUUGAGAAGAAAAGAUAAAUUAUGGCAGAUUUAUUAAUUAAGAUAAAUUGGUAUCUAAAUUAAUAAAUAAGUUUAAAUCAAUGUUCAAAUUAUAAAUAAUUAAUUUGAUAAAGGAUUUAGAUAGUUAUUUAAUUAAUUAAACCAAUAGAAAAUAAUAUAGGCCUUGAUUUUAAGUCCAAUGAGCUUAUAAUCAAAUGGGAAAUUUCACGGGCCUAAAGCUCAUGAUAAUUUCGACUUAGGGCUUCAAAUUGGCUAUUAUUUUAUUGAUUUUUUUAAUUAAAUUAAAUGACCUAAUUGUUGAUAAAUCCUAUAAUUAAAUCAAUAUUUUUUUUCAAAUUAACCUAAAACCAAGUUGAUUGUUGAUAAAUGAAAUUUAAAUUAACUAUUGUUAAUUGUUGAUAAUUUCAUUUAAAUUGACUUAUUUUUUGUUAAAAUUUAAUUAAUUUGAAUUUUUUUUAAUAAAUUCUAGAUAAUUAAUUGUGGUAUUUUUGCAAAUGAAAUAAAUUGUGGUAUUUUGCAUAAAUUCAUAGAAUUGCUCAUAUAGUAACAUUAUUAGGCCCAUCAAAUUAUAACAUGUCAAUUUGCACUAUAUGUGGUGUUUUUGCAAUUGGGCUUAGAUGCAUAUAGUGACCCAUAUGUUUGUUAGAUAUAUGAUAUUUUGCCAAAUAAAAUAUUCAUAAAAUGAUAGGUUUUAUUUGGGCCCAUUAGAAAAUGUAAAGUUUAAAUUCUUCUUUUGUGGGUGAUUCCACUUAUGAAGGCCAAUUUGCUUUGCAUGACUAUAGUGGGCCUAAUCAAUUAAUAACAAUUAAUUAAACGAAGGUUUAAAUUCCUGUCUUUUGGACCUUGUAUGGAAGAUAGGGGGUCUUUGUAGUGGGAACGACAUACUGGACCCAACCCUCCUCCAUACAAGCCUAAUUGUUAAGGCUCAUUUACCUGAGUUGGACUUAAUUGUAUAGGUUCAUUAUAUUAGUUAAACCUAAAUAUUUAUUAGCAAAAAAUUAAUUCUAAAUUAAUUGAAUUUGUUUCAAUGUGACACGUUAGAAUUAAUAGGAAAUUAUAGGACUUUGGUUUUAAAAAAAUUUAAUCUGUUUAAUUUUUUUGGAAAAACCAUAGUCAUUAAUUUUCUAAAAAAUAAAUAAUAACAACCCAAAACAACAACCCAAAGCCUGGAAAGGCUGUAAAGACGAGUGCACAGACACCUAAGGGGAAGAACAAGAAAAAUAAGAAAGGUAAAGAUAAGUGUUUUCACUGCAAAGAGAAGGGGCAUUGGAAACGUGAUUGCCCCAAGUUUCAAGUAGCUAAAAACAAAGCUUCUUGAAUCGUGGGAGGAAGUGAAUGAAGGCGACUUAAAGCUUAGAGUUGGGAACGGAGCGUUCGUUAAAGUCCAAGCUAGAGGAAUAGCUCGUCUGAUGUUCGGAAAUAAAUACUUAAUUUUAAAAGAUGUAUUUUUUUAUUUCGAAUUUUUGUAGAAAUUUAAUUUCAGUUUCCAUGUUGCAAAUAGAACAAUUUGUUAUGACUUUCACAAGUUCUAAUAUAUCUAUUUCUUUCAAUGGAUCACAAUUGUGUAUUGC